rnacentral:lncRNA from 1 species
GCAACUGUUGGCAUCCCACUCCGACACUAGCUCAUAACACCUGAGAUCCAGGUCGUAGGAGACAGGACCAGAGGAUUACAGCCAUAAUAAAGGGUACAUCGUAAUGUCUCUGCCUAGAUACGAUACGGAUAGUCAAAGCGUAGAAGAAUCGGUGGGGCAGCAACAAGCCGCAGCGCAUAACCUGCCUAUGGAGUACAUGACUAAAAGCGGAUAGGAUUCUAGAUUGCAAAUAGGAUGCUGCCUGGCGUGCUGCCUGGCGUGCUGCCUCGCGUGUGCUGCCAGGCAGUAGCACUGACGCCUCGCACAAAACAAAGAGUCGACAUUGAAAGUUGCCACACGCAAUUCCCAGCUUGACAAGAAAGGAAGCCAGUUACCCACGCAGUCACUGAAUGCUAAUGGACACGCCGUCACCGCUGACUUCAACGCCAUCUGUUAGGACGAGACAACGGUCUCGAGGUCUGUCGCGUUGGCUCUUCGUGAAGCUCUGCAGAAUGAACUUGAGUUCCCUGACCUUUUCAACCGGGCUAACCUGUGGUUGGGCAUUCCACCAACCUGGAUUUGUGCGUGUGUAUGGGAGGUUGUAUGCCUUGCGGCCAUCAGCUCACUCAAUCUCGGUCGCCGUUUGUUGUUUAGGGAAGGUCUCCAGACCAACAUGCCUAUAUCAACGCCAUCGCUUAACCGCAUUACUUACGAGGUUAUCUCUGACUUUUGGGCCCGUUUAACUGCUUUUGCGGCACGGGACUACUUGCCAAAACAUUGGGAUCAUGUACCUCACAAUCACCCUUUCUUAUAUGUCAAUGACGCAGACAUGGUUGUUUGCCGUUUACCGAUAUACAAUGACGAAGUUUGAGGGCGCACGUCGGAGCCUCAAUUUUCUGUUUAAGCGUACUAACUGAGGCCGUGUGUCCAGUGAAGUUAGUACGGCCUGGCCGAGUUCUUUUUGAAUAAGGCCCACAGUGUUGUGCGGGAGGCGCUCCUAUGGGCGCUGCACUCGACCCGUUCGGGGUCCACUGUAACAAUCGCAUCUCGAGGUCUGCGCCGUCUGUGCGGUGACUUAACGAAAACCGAAUUUCCUGAAAUCGCUCGUGCGAAACAUCACGGUGGUUACAUAUGCCGCCACUUCACUUAGCAACAUCAGCUAUAUCACCCUCUUAAAUCGUGCGUGAAGACGCAGGAUAACUCAAAGGGCUCGCUGAUUUACGAUUUAUUCAAUUAGGAUACCUGACUAUAGUACCACGUGAAUAUGGGUGGCUCUCGCCGAAAAUUGAAAAGGAACGCGCCGAAGGUUCGGAAUGGGUUAGUGAAACGCAAAAGAGACCAGAAGACGAAGCUUCCUGUGGAUAUUGCGUUUAACGACCCGGCGCUGGAGCAGAGGCUGAAGAAAAAGUGGGUAUUUGGCCGCCAUCGUUGCACCAUUGCCUGCCUCUGCGUGUUUUGUGACUGGCAAGCGCAUAGGUGGUUCCAAUAAGUACAGAAUGGCUAUCUGCUUAACUCGACACGCGACUGACCUAACGUCCUAGACCUGAUGCCCAACCAGGGUUCAUGCUCUACCACCAUCCGUCCGCCGUCAUGUUGAACUGUCCCACAACAGUGUGCCGCCAUAGCCUUGAGUAUG